UGCAUAUCAAUAAGCGGAGGAAAAGAAACUAACAAGGAUUCCCCUAGUAACGGCGAGUGAAGCGGGAUGAGCUCAAAUUUAAAAUCUGGCGGCCUCAGGUCGUCCGAGUUGUAGUCUAGAGAAUCGUUUUCCGCGUUGGCCUGUGUACAAGUCCCUUGGAACAGGGCGUCAUAGAGGGUGAGAAUCCCGUCCUUGACACAGAUUACCAAUGCUUUGUGAUGCGAUCUCGAAGAGUCGAGUUGUUUGGGAAUGCAGCUCAAAAUGGGUGGUAAAUUCCAUCUAAAGCUAAAUAUUGGCGAGAGACCGAUAGCGAACAAGUACCGUGAGGGAAAGAUGAAAAGCACUUUGGAAAGAGAGUUAAACAGUACGUGAAAUUGUUAAAAGGGAAACGAUUGAAGUCAGUCAUGCUUUCCGAGACUCAGCCGAUUCUGUCGGUGUACUUCUCGGUUGGCAGGCCAGCAUCAGUUUCGAUCUGUGGAAAAGGUUGGAGGGAACGUGGCAUCUCCGGAUGUGUUAUAGCCCUUCUUCGAAUACAUAGAGCGGGACUGAGGAACGCAGCGCGCCUUUUAUUAGGUUGGCCCUCGGGUACAUACGCGCUUAGGAUGCUGGCAUAAUGGCUUUAAACGACCCGUCUUGAAACACGGACCA
rnacentral:rRNA from 1 species